rfam:Trichobilharzia regenti genome assembly, scaffold: TRE_scaffold0012670
AUACUGCUGAAGAGUCCCAAACUAGGACGAAACAGCUGUCCAGUAC